UUAAAAGAUUUCCUGACUCAGUUAAUGAAAAUGCCAUAUUUUACAAAAGUUCAAAAAAAAGAAGGCCCCUUGAAAACUUUGGCCGCCAUUAGGAAAAAUGAGGUCACUCCCGAUGAUCUAGACUCCAUGAUGAAAAAUAUAGGAGUUCCAUUACCCCAAGAUGCGAUUCAAAGAUCCCUGAAGAAUGUGGCUAUCACGGGUGAGUAUUUAACAUUUCUAGGUAUCCUUUAUCU
rnacentral:lncRNA from 1 species